rnacentral:rRNA from 1 species
UACAGAGGGUGCGAGCGUUAAUCGGAAUUACUGGGCGUAAAGCGCGCGUAGGCGGCUUUGCAAGUCGGGUGUGAAAUCCCCAGGCUUAACCCCAAGCCUGCGGUCGAUACGGGCAGACUUGAGUUCGGCAGGGGAGACUGGAAUUCCUGGUGUAGCGGUGAAAUGCGCAGAUAUCAGGAGGAACACCGGUGGCGAAGGCGGGUCCCUGGGCCGAUACUGACGCUGAGGAGCGAAAGCGUGGGGAGCGAACAGG